UCAAGCCUUAACACGCCCAUAGAACUUGGACUUCUCCUGUGUUGUCUGGAAUCUACCAUGGCCAAACUUGGAGGAUGUAUCAAUAAACUUGAGCUUAAUCUCCUCCAAAGCAACCCUAGAUGUCUGGUUCAACAAUGAUUGUCUCAAGGUCACAACUCUCUUCUUUGGUCCCACGCAGCAUCCUUUUAUCAUCAAAUAAUCUUCCUUCACCACACCAUAAUGGGGGAAUCCUCCCAUUGGAGUGAUAUCCUUUUCAGUCCUGUUAUUUGUGAAACAGAUUAGCCAAUUUCGAUGGGGCAAAUUUACAAUAACAACAAUAACCUCCUACGAAUUGCUAGAUCAAGACGAAUGAUAUUAAUAUAGGACAGUGAAAAAAAGGCAUUAAGAAUGUUAACCUGUCAUAUUCAGUAAUUGCAGUAUGAGAAUCUUGGCCACUCUUCCCAAGCUUGUAGAUUUUCUUGUUCAUCUCAGUACGGUGAUGGUAACCAUUCUGUCCAGCCCUAGCAACAGUAAAUGACACCCUAGCUGGAUGCCAAGCACCAAUACAUGCCACCUUCCUUAGACCACGAUGGGUCUUGCGGGGCAGGCGGGUCACACCCCAACGAGUAACCACACCUUCAUAUCCCUUACCCUUGGUUACACCAAUAAUAUCAAUCAUCUCAUCCUUUUGGAAAACAGCAUCAAUAGGUAUCUGCUUCUCAAAGAAACUGUAUGCAAAAUCAACCUUCUUGGCAACAUCCCCACCAUUUACUUGAAUCUCCAUCAGAUGGGCUUUCUUCUGCUUCAACCCUUUCAUCUUUCUUAUCUGCAGAGUCAAUAGUGCAGCAAAUGUGAAGAGUUAAAGAUUAAAGAAGAGCACAUACAAGUUGUACUCAGAAGACCAAAACUGUGAAUCUAUACAAGGAUCAGCAAUCCAGCAGUCUUAAGGUGCUACUAAAUUGAUGAGUAAUUAUAUCUCAUUAGCAGAACUGAAUACACAAGGGAAAAGUGAAAGUAAUUUACCUGGGUGUGCGCCAAGACUCGAAUGACCGAACAAUGCUUCUUCAGUUUCUCCAAUUGAGCUUGAAUAUCUUUCUUCCCAUCCUCAGAUUCAAACUUUUUAGAGUACUUGGUGAAUGCCUUCUUCUUCGACUUGCACCAGUUCUUGUAGAAUCUCCUCCUCACAUCCUCACUCAAAUGCUGGGCCCAGACAGUGUUCAGUGAACGGAGACCACGGGGUGUUUUCAUAUAACCCACAACCCCAACCACCACCAUAGGUGGUGUCUCUACGAUAGUAACAGCCUCACAUGUUUCUUUCUUGUGGAGCUUUGACCCUGGCUUUUCAACUUCUCUGACAAUGUGGGUCAUCCCUGCUUUGUAACCCAGAAAAGCAGUCAAUCUGCAAGGUUUUGUUGGAUCAUCUUUGGGGAACGCCUUCACUGUAAACAUCACAUAAAAGCGUUAAAAAAAAAUCAACAAUUGCACAACACUAACCAAUAUGCAAAUUGCAAAAAUAGUCAAUAUAAACAACUCACAAGUGAGUAAGAAAUCAACAUUAACAAAUAUUGAAAUAAUUUAAUUGCAAGGCACUGAAAAAAAUCAAUGCAAACACUAAAACUAAGGAAGCAACAUAGGAAGAUGACACUCUUUAUGAAAACAAAAAAAAUUCUUGUAUUAAAAUCUAGAACUGCUAGGAAAUGCGAAUAAUUCAUUUAUAAUAACAAACCAACUACCAAGGCUAGGCAUAGGCCAUCUAUCUACCCACAACUCAUGCAGCAUAGAAAAGAGGCCAUUAUUGAAAUAUCAAGGACCUAUUUACUUGUAGAAAACAGUUUUUCUUUUCAACCUUCGAAGAAUUAGAAGACUAUAGUUUUCUUUUUAUAAAGAAAACAAAGGAAAAGAUGGAAAGCAAGUUCAAUAGUGAAUGAUAGAAAAUAGUUAUGUAUUUUAAAAAUUUUUAAGAAUUAUUUGUAUCCAUUCGUAAUAAAAAAAAAAGUCAUGAUAAAUAUAUUUUAGAUCUAUUUUUUAAUUGUGUCAAUUGUUUUAUCUUAUAAUAAUAUAGUUAGUUCUCAUUACUGUAAAUAAAUGUUUUUUCCCAACUUAAUGAUGAAAAGUUAUAGAAUAAUUUGAGUCAUUAGAGGAGAACAGUUGAAAAUAGAACUUUUGUUAUAAAGAAAAAUAAUGAGGAAAAAACAUAAAGCUGAUUUCCAAAUCUUAGUCAAGUUUUGGAAAAUUGAAAAACAAAAUUUUCAAUUCUCAGAUUGGAAAAUUGAUACAUAUGCACACAAAACUUUAUUUUCCAAUUUACUUAGAACAUUAUUCCCAAAAAUUACUCCAGUUUUCUACAAGUAAGAAAGUACAAAAAGUCCUGAGAUUUUUCAUGCCAAGGAAGAAAUGACAUACAAACGGACAAACCAUACAUGAAUUUAUUUUAUCAAAAGCCCUAUUUUUACAUCCAAAAAACCGAAGACAACCUUAACUAUAGAGGAGUUAGCUAAUACUAAAAAACCACCAUAAUAUGAUCAAAACUAAACAAAAAGCAAUUUAGGCAACAUCAAUUACUGAUAAUGAAAACAAUCAAUGCAUGACUUCAAAAAAAUCAACCAAUGCACAUUAUGUAAGGCCAAAUAUAAAUUUAAAAAGCUUCAGCAAUAAUGAGAUUAAAACAAGAAUUAGAAACCUUUUCCUCUGUGGCGCGAGGCUCUCUUCCUUGGAAGAAAUCCCAAAGAACCAUGCCGGGGGUGUUCAAACUUGCGAUGAGACAUGCUUCAACUUCAGGGUACCACUGCAACACUAUGAAUUUCAAACUUAUUUUCCUUGAAAAAGGCAGAAAAUUCACAACAACAGAAAGCAACAAAUUUUCAAAUGAUAUUUGGUUAAUCUCAAAUGCUACUACUUAUCAAUCUGCGUGUGUAUAAAACCAGAGAAACACUAUUCUCUCCAAGUGAAAAGGAUUAAAGAGGUAUUAUCCCAUAAAGGAGCUGAAAAUUGAGAUAAAGUUUCUGGAUAAAAGCAUAAUGACUAAAACACAGAUACAAAUUAAUAGAAACAUUCAAGUUUCAAUUAAAAAUAAUAAACAUUCUCAAAAAGAAGGGUAAGUUUUAAUAUUUAACAAUUAAUUUAUUAAAAAAAUACACAAUUGACAAUUUCAUUGAAAUACUAUGUAGUCAGACAAAAGUUUCUUGUAUUUGGAUCAGAUAAGGAAAAGUAAAAUCGUAAAUAAUCAAGAGAAACCAUCACAUUAAUUAAACCUGAUUGGAAGCCUCAAAACGGUUCUUUAUUCAACUUUAAAAAUCACUUAANNNNNNNNNNNNNNNNNNNNNNNNNNNNNNNNNNNNNNNNNNNNNGCCAUCAAAAUGCUACAAAGCCAAAAGGUCAUACAAUUUCAUUACUCAAUAAUCACGAAUUUCUUUUCUAGAAAAAAUGAAAUUAUAUCAACCCUUGACCUCUAAGCAUUUGAUAUCAACACCAAACCUUAAUAAGUGAAAUGAAAUGCUUCCCAACCAAAGGCCUAUGGCAUAAAAAUUAUGCCAAAUCUCAAAGCUCAGUGGUAUUCCUUUUCAAAUACCAAUUCAUGGUAUCGGCAAAAAGAGCCAUUUCCGAGACUCCAGCCUUGAUUAUUUCAGCAAUUCUCUUAUAAAGGGAAGUCGUUUCAAAAUCACCACCACGCAAGGCGCAAUAUCAAAAUGUUUAUCAGGACAAGAGCAUUAAAAGAACCUUUAAAAAACCUCCAAAACAUCUAUUUACAAAAGAGUAAAACAAGCAGAACCCAACUCCUUCCAGAACCAAGUAGAGAUCUAAGCUAAUCAAAUAUUGAAUCAAAAAGCGCAAACCAUUAUGAAUAAAUGACAGAAAUUGUAAGGUAUUACCUCCCGAGGAGAUCACUGGACGUACUGUGUGCCGAUAAGAACCCUAGAAAGGUUUAGCUAGGCAUUUAUAUCGUUCUCGAGGUCAGAUCCAACGGCUGCAAUUAGCAUCCAAUGGGUAUUAUUGUCCGUUGGAUGGUUAGGGUUGGGGUUUUGCAAGAAGCGCCGCGGAUCCAGCAGCUAUGGAAAAUAGUAAAUGGGCUAAGAAUAUUCAAAGUUGGGCUGAUUUGUUUUUUGGUUAGUGACUUUUAAGUUAAGUUUGGGUUCUGAGCAAAUUUUAAAAUGGUAUUUAGAAAUUGAAAACGUAAAUCAUAAAAUACUAUUUAUUUUAAUUUUGAAUAAAAAUUAUCUAUCAAAUAUUAAAAUAAUUAGUAACUAUUAAAACAUGUAAUAUUACUAGACAUUAUUUUGAAAAUAAUUUUUUUUAUAACAAUUAUAUAACCUUCAUGUGUAUAGAUGUAAAUAAUUUUUAUCAAAAUAAGAAAUUAAAUUUAUGGGAUAAAUUAUAGUUAAUCAAACUUUAUAAUUUUUUAAUUUUGUUAUAUAUAUUUAUGGUGUCCAAUAAAAAAUGUUAAAUUUUUAUUAAUUAGACAAAUAAAAAAUGUAAGGAUCUUUCUUCUUUUCUCGAAUGUGAGUUCUAUCCUUCCUUUGCCUCUAAGAGUGAGACACAUUUUUUUAGCUACUUUUACUCGGUGAAUUUAAAAAUUAGAAAGAAAUUAUAUUUUUUCUAUAUGCAUAUUUGGAUCUUUGUUGGUUUUCUCCUAUAUUUGCUUGGGUGGUUCAUAAUGUUCUAUUUGGACACUUUAUUUUUAGAGGAAACUCUUUUCCUUUAGAGGAAACUCUUUUCCUUUAGAGGACAUAGCCCCUUCCUUCGGGGGAGUUAUGUUUUUUGUGCUCAAUUAUUAUUUUUUUGUAGUUCUUGGUCUAAAUACUCUAAAAUCUAUUAAUAAAAUUAUUUUUUUUAAAAAAUAAGUUUUACCCUCCUUUCAGAUUCAAGCUUACUCAAUCAUGGAAAUAGCCUCUCUCAUUUCCAUCGAAUUUAGGGUACUCUGAUGCUCGGAAUGGAGGUCGUUUAUCGCAUCAUCACUAGCUCAUCCUCUCCUGAAGACCUAAAACAAUCUAUAAAUUCAAGUGGGAUUUUUCUCGAUAACAAUUUGAUCGAUAAAGUUCUCAAAAGGUUCAGGUUUGGUCAUGGGAAACCCUUGCAAGCACUUGAGCUCUUUAAAUUCACUGCCAAUAGAAAAGGGUUUUAUCACACUCCGAAUUCGUUAGAUACCAUGCUUUAUAUAUGGGCAAAGUCGUCAAUUUGAUCAUAUUUGGGAUGUUUUGAUUAAAAUGAAGAGGAAAGACCCGUCUUUGAUUUCCUCACGAACUAUGCAAGUGGUUUUGGGUAGACUGUGGAAUCUUUUAGAAUGUUCAAGAAGUUGGUUCCUGUGUUUGAUACCAGUUCUUUCAAUGCACUGUUGAGACCCUGUGUUUUCUUUAACAAAGGAAUGAUGAUCCAACCAAUGCACACGCCCCUGGAAUACCGCAGGGCAUAGAGCUCCCUACUUUCUUCUAAUACAAAAGCUACUUCCGACUGGUUUGUUCUUGGAGAAGGAGCUGGUUUUGCUCCUCUUAGAAGAGCUAGAACAUGCUAAGGUAUACCAGCUUUAGGUCAGCUUUUUCUAUUUGUUUUCUUUGAGAGGGGUUUGUUUCCCUUAUGUAUGGUCAAAUGCUGAGAUAACAGAGAAGAGGAGCAAAGAUUUACCCAGAAUUCCUAGGUGGAAGCUUCACAAGGGUAGCCCAAGUAUUUCUGUAGGUUGAAUUUCACAAAUAUGAUGGGCUUUAUGAGUUUUUUAUUUAUUGUAUUCAGGCCUUGAAAAAAAAAAAUAAAUAUCUAACAAUGAACUUUAAAAACUCGCAUCUCAUCCAAAAAGGUUCAGUAAUAAUUAAAGCAGCAGAUGCAGUCACUAAGCAAACCAACAGCAUAAGCACACCUCAAAAGGUUCAAACACUAGGAGAAAAACAAAUUCUCAAACGUAAGAAGAAAAGUUUUGAUGUUCAUCCAUCCUCUCCCAUGCUUAACUAAACUCAAGCCUUAACACGCCCAUAGAACUUGGACUUCUCCUGUGUUGUCUGGAAUCUUCCAUGGCCAAACUUGGAGGAUGUAUCAAUGAACUUGAGCUUAAUCUCCUCCAAAGCAACCCUAGAUGUCUGGUUCAACAAUGAUUGUCUCAAGGUCACAACUCUCUUCUUUGGUCCCACGCAGCAUCCUUUUAUCAUCAAAUAAUCUUCCUUCACCACACCAUAAUGGGGGAAUCCUCCCAUUGGAGUGAUAUCCUUUUCAGUCCUGUUAUUUGUGAAACAGAUUAGCCAAUUUCGAUGGGGCAAAUUUACAAUAACAACAAUAACCUCCUACGAAUUGCUCGAUCAAGAAGAAUGAUAUUAAUAUAGGACAGUGAAAAAAAAGCAUUAAGAAUGUUAACCUGUCAUAUUCAGUAAUUGCAGUAUGAGACUCUUGGCCACUCUUCCCAAGCUUGUAGAUUUUCUUGUUCAUCUCAGUACGGUGAUGAUAACCAUUCUGUCCAGCCCUAGCAACAGUAAAUGACACCCUAGCUGGAUGCCAAGCACCAAUACAUGCCACCUUCCUUAGACCACGAUGGGUCUUGCGGGGCAGACGGGUCACACCCCAACGAGUAACCACACCUUCAUAUCCCUUACCCUUGGUUACACCAAUAAUAUCUAUCAUCUCAUCCUUUUGGAAAACAGCAUCAAUAGGGAUCUGCUUCUCAAAGAAACUGUAGGCAAAGUCGACCUUCUUGGCAAUAUCCCCACCAUUCACCUGAAUCUCCAUUAGAUGGGCUUUCUUCUGCUUCAACCCUUUCAUCUUUCUUAUCUGCAGAGUCAAUAGUGCAGCAAAUGUGAAGAGUUAAGGAUUAAAGAAGAGCACAUACAAGUUGUACAUGAAAGAACAGAAUCAUGAAUCUAUUGAGGAUCAGAAAUCCAGCAGAGCCUUAAAGUGCUACUAAAUUAUUGAGUGAUGAUAUCUCAUUCACAAAUACAGAAAUGAAUGCACAAGGGAAAAGUGGAAGUAAUUUACCUGGGUGUGCGCCAAGACCCGAAUGACGGAACAAUGCUUCUUCAGUUUCUCCAAUUGAGCUUGAAUAUCUUUCUUCCCAUCUUCAGAUUCAAACUUCUUAGAGUACUUGGUGAAUGCCUUCUUUUUGGACUUGCACCAGUUCUUGUAGAAUCUCCUCCUCACAUCCUCACUCAAAUGCUGGGCCCAGACAGUGUUCAGUGAACGGAGACCACGGGGUGUUUUCAUAUAACCCACAACCCCAACCACCACCAUGGGUGGUGUCUCUACGAUAGUAACAGCUUCACAUGUUUCUUUCUUGUGGAGCUUUGACCCUGGCUUUUCAACUUCUCUGACAAUGUGGGUCAUCCCUGCUUUGUAACCCAGAAAAGCAGUCAAUCUGCAAGGUUUUGUUGGAUCAUCUUUGGGGAAUGCCUUCACUGUAAACAUCACAGAAAAGCGUAAAAAAAAUCAACAAUUGCACAACACUAACCAAUAUGCAAAUUGCAAAAAUAGUCAAUAUAAACAACUCACAAGUGAGUAAUAAAUCAACAUUAACAAAUACUGACAUAAAUUUAAUUGCAAGGCACUGAAACAAAUCAAUGCAAACACUAAAACUAAGGAAGCAACAUAGUAAGAUGACACUCUUUAUGAAAACAAAAAAAUGCUUGUAUUAAAAUCUAGAACUGUUAGGAAGUGCGAAUAAUUCAUUUAUAAUAACAAACCAACUACCAAGGCUAGGCAUAGGCCAUCUAUCUACCCACAACUCAUGCAGUCAGAAAAGAGGUUAUUAUUGAAAUAUCAAGGACCUAUUUACUUGUAGAAAACAGUUUUUCUUUUCAACCUUCGAAGAAUUAGAAGACUGUAGUUUUCAUUUUAUAAAGAAAACAAAGGAAAAGAUGGAAAGCAAGUUCAAUUGUGUAUGACAGAAAAUAGUUUUGUAUCUUAAAAAUUUUUUAAAAAUUAUUUGUAUCCAUUCGUAAUAGAAAGAGUCAUGAUAAAUAUAUUUUACAUCUAUUUUUUUAAAUGUGUCAAUUGUUUUAUCUUAUAAUAAUAUAGUUAGUUUUCAUUACUGUAAAUAAAUGUUUUUUCCAAACUUAAUGAUUAAAAGUUAUAGAAUAAUUUUAGUCAUUAGAGGAAAACAGUUGAAAAUAGAACUUUUGUUAUAAAGAAAAAUAACGAGGAAAAAACAUAAAGCUGAUUUCCAAAUCUUAGUUAAGUUUAGAAAAUUGAAAAACAAAAUUUUCAAUUCUCAGAUUGGAAAAUUGAUACAUAUGCACACAAAACUUUAUUUUCCAAUUUACUUAGAACAUUAUUCCCAAAAAUUACUCCAGUUUUCUACAAGUGAGAAAGUACAAAAAGUCCUGAGAUUUUUCAUGCCAAGGAAGAAAUGACAUACAAAAGGACAAACUAUACAUGAAUUUCUUUAAUCAAAAGCCCUAUUUUUACAUCCAAAAAACAGAAGACAACAUUAACCAUAGAGUUCGCUAAUACUAAAAAAACACCAUAAUAUGAUCAAAACUAAACAAGAAGCAAUUUAGGCAACAUCGAUUACUGAUAAUGAAAACAAUCAAUGCAUGACUUCAAAAAAAUCAACGAAUGCAUAUUAUGUAAGGCCAAAUAUAAAUUUAAAAAGCUUCAGCAAUAAUGAGAUUAAAACAAGAAUUAGAAACCUUUUCCUCUGUGGCGCGAGGCUCUCUUCCUUGGAAGAAAUCCCAAAGAACCAUGCCGGGGGUGUUCAAACUUGCGAUGAGACAUGCUUCAACUUCAGGGUACAACUGCAACACUCUAUGAAUUUCAAACUUAUUUUCCUUGAAAAAGGCAGAAAAUUCACAACAACAGAAAGCAACAAAUUUUCAAAUGAUAUUUGGUUAAUCUCAAAUGCUACUGCUUAUCAAUCUGUGUGUAUAAAACCAGAGAAACACUAUUCUCUCCAAGUGAAAAGGAUUAAAACAGGUAUUAUCCCAUAAAGGAGCUGAAAAUUGAGAUAUAGUUUCUGGAUAAAAUCAUAAUGACUAAAACACAGAUACAAAUUAAGAGAAACAUUCAAGUCAAUUAAAAAUAAUAAACAUUCUCAAAAAGAAGGGUAAGUUUUAAUAUUUAACAAUUACUUUAUUAAAAAAUACACAAUUGACAAUUUCAUUGAAAUACUGUGUAGUCAGACAAAAGUUUCUUGUAUUUGGAUAAGAUAAGGAAAAGUAAAAUCGUAAAUAAUCAAGAGAAACCAUCAGAUUAAUUAAACCUGAUUGGAAACCUCAAAACGGUUCAUUAUUCAACUUUAAAAAUCAAUUAAAAAAAUUUUUGAAAAAAAAGACUCAGCCAUCAAAAUGCUACAAAACCAAAAGGUCAUACAAUUUCAUCACUCAAUAAUCACGAAUUUCUUUUCUAGAAAAAAUGAAAUUAUAUCAACCCUUGACCUCUAAGCAUUUGAUAUCAACACCAAACCUUAAUAAGUGAAAUGAAAUGCUUCCCAACCAAAGGCCUAUGGCAUAAAAAUUAUGCCAAAUCUCAAAGCUCAGUGGUAUUCCAUUUCAAAUACCAAUUCAUGGUAUCGGCAAAAAGAGCCAUUUCCGAGACCCCAGCCUUGAUUAUUUCAGCAAUUCUCUUAUAAAGGGAAGUCAUUUCAAAAUCACCACCAGGCAAGAUUAUCAGGACAAGAGCAUUAAAAGAACCUUUAAAAAACCUCCAAAACAUCUAUUUACAAAAGAGUAAAACAAGCAGAACCCAACUCCUUCCAGAACCAAGUAGAGAUCUAAGCUAAUCAAAUAUUGAAUCAAAAAAAGCAAACCAAGUAGAGAUCUAAGCUAGAAGUUUAAUUAUCAUGUAUGUUUAUGAAUCAAUGACAGGAAUUGUAAGGUAUUACCUCCCGAUGAGGAGAUCACUGGACGUACUGUGUGCCGAUAAGAACCCUAGAGAGGUUUAGCUAGACAUUUAUAUCGUUCUCGAGAUGAGAUCCAACGGCUGUAAUUAGCAUCCAAUGGGUAUUAUCGUUGGAUGGUUAGGGUUAGCGUUUUGCAAGAAGAGCCGCCGAUCCAGCAGCUAUGGAAACUAGUAAAUGGGCUAAGAAUAGAGAAAGCCGACUACAUCCAGUCCAAUAUUCAAAGGUGGGCUGAGUUGUUUUUUGGUUAGUAACUUUUAAGUUUGGGUUCUGAGAAAAUUUUAAAAUGGUAUUUAGAAAUUGAAAACGUAAAUCAUAAAAUACUAUUUUUUUUAAUUUUGAGUAAAAAUUAUCUAUCAAAUAUUAAAAUAAUUAGUAACUAUUAAAACAUGUAAUAUUACUAGACAUUAUUUUGUAAAUAAUUUUUUUAUAAAUGUAAAUAAUGUUAUCAAAAUAAGAAAUUAAAUUUAUGGGAUAAAUUAUAGUUAAUCAAACUUUACCAUUUUUCUAAUUUUGUUAUAUAUAAUUAUGGUGCCCAAUAAAAAAUGUUAAAUUUCUAUUAAUUAGACAAAUAAAUCUAACCGUGGUUUUAUUUUUUUUUUUUUUUAAAUAAAGAUUCUCUCUCCAAAUUCCUUUCUUAAGUUUUAACUUAAAUUCAUUUGCUGCCUCCUGUGCGGGUGAGCAGUAUUCGGUUCAAAUCGAAAAAAUUGAUCGAACCGAACUGAUUUAAAAUUUUAGUUCGGUUUUUUAUAUAUUUUGGUUCAGUUUGGUUUUUAAUUUUAGAAAUUUCGGUUAUUUCAAUUCGGUUCGAUUUUAAUUAAAAAAAAAUCGAAAAAACCGAAUCAAACCGAUUAGUAAUAAUAAUAUAUUUUUUCAAUAAUAUAGAGAAAUUAAAUCAUAUUAAAAUUAAAAUAUUUUAAUUAAAUUUUAAAAUAUUAAAAAUAAAAUGUAAAAAAUAAAAAAAUUAUUAAAAAUCGAAACUGAUCAAACCGAACCGAAUCGAACCGAAUCAUACCGGUUUGGUUCGAUUCGAUUUCUAAUCAAAAUCGGUUCGGUUCGAUUUUCAUAAAUACUAAAAUUUCGGUUUCGGUUUAUUCGAUUCGGUUCGAUUUUGAACCGAACUGACCGAAUGCUCACCCCUACUCCUGUGGUUUAUCAUAUCUCUGCAUGUAAGAGGAUCCUUCUACCCUUCCUUUGCCUCUAAGGGUAAGAGAGACCUCUUUUCUUUUUUGAAUAUAGUUUCUAUUUUCUCCCAUCCGAUUGGAUUGUAGAUAAUCCUUUUAACUAUUUUUACUCGGUUGUAUUUAAGCAUUCGAAAGAGAUCAUAUAUUUUUUAUAUGCAUAUUUGAAUCUUUGUGGGUUUUUCUCCUCUUUGCUUGUCUCUUUCAUAAUGUUCUAUUUGUAUACUUUAUUUUUAAAGUAAACUCCUUUACUUUAGAGGACAUGCCCCUUCUUUAGCAUGAAUUAUAUUUUUUGUGUCUAAUUGUUAUUUUUUUUGCGAUUGUUGGUCUAAAGAUUCUAAAUUACUCUUUGAUGAUUAUCAUUCGAUAGAGGGGGCAAGAAACAAAAUAAUAGUUGUAUCUAGCACAUGCUCGUAAACAGUUUAGAAAGCAGGAAUGAGAUGACAAAUAAUGAUACCACCUUUAUUCAUUGCCAACACAUAAUAGAUGUAGAGUUUCUAUAUGGUUCGGUACUCAAUGGUUUUCUCUUUAUCUUUCUUCGAAUAUUUUUUAUUUCUUUACUUUUUUUUAUUUUUCACAUUUAAAUUUAUCAAUAUCAACAUCUCAAUAAAUAGCUAGCUUAGUAUAGUUAGGGUUAUAUAAUUUUUUUUCAGUAGGAUAGGCUUGCUUGUAAUGGGAUUGUGUUUUACAUGUAUGAAAGAAUAAAUAUCAAAUACUUAAAUUUUUAAAAAAUUUAUUAAUUUAUUUAUAUUUUAAAAUUAUUCAAUUAAAAUAUCUUUAUAUUUUACAUAAUCAAACUCUUGUAAUUUUUAUGUUACUUUACAAGAUUUAUUUUAAAUUUGAUCAGAAAAAUUAAAUAGUAUGAAUAUUUCAAAUUAUAAAAAUUAAAUAAUACAUAUAAUUAAAAUUAUAAAAACCAACCAAAACAAUUAUUCCAGGUAGGUUGCUAAUGUUUUUUUUUUUUAACAGAAAAAAAAAUUUAUAUUUUACAAAAUAUAAAAAUAAUUUAAUGGAGUGAUUUGAAAAUAAAAACAAACUAGUUUAUUUAAUAAAAUUUCAGGGAUUACAUAAUAAUUUAGCCUAGAUGUAUUUGGGAUGGGUUUGGACCAAGCAAUAUUGUUUUUUCUUUUUAGUCAUAGCCUAUCUGAGGGCCCUCAACUAGAAAAUGAAAUUGCAUUAAUAAAAUUAAUUUGGUUGGACUCAAUUAAAUUUGAUAUAUUGGCUUGGAUUAAUUAUAAAUUCAGUUUCAGUUAUGUUUCUCAAUAUUAACUUUAAUUUGAAACUUAAUUACAAUUAAUUAAAAAGUUAAACUAUUCUAUUGGCUCCUUUCUAGAUUACCUCAGCUUGAUACGGUCUUUUGCCCAGAAAUGCAAGAAAUCUAGAAUGUUUACUUCUAGAUGAUGUGCAAGUCCAUUAGUUCUUUUGGGUCGGAUCUAGAGAAUCCAAUCAGGAUUAAUGUUUUCUGGGUGGAAUUUACAUUUGAGUUGUCUUUUACUGGAACCAAAUCAUUGUACUUUUAGGCCAUAGUUAAUGAUAUUUCAAUCCAAAAUUUGAUACUAAAUUCACAUUGAUUUCACACAUCUCAAAAACCAUAAAGAUGACCUUGACAUAAUACUUAUUAAUAAAUUCGAUUAUUAUAUGGGCAAUCUAUUAACAGAAAAUGGACAUUAAACUGAAAAGCAUCGAACAGAAGUAAUACAAAUACCAUAUGCAUUGCAUUUUGUGCUCAAGCAGACACUUGAAAGCUAAUGAUCUGGAUUAGGAAUACUAUUACUUCAUACAUGCUUCCAUUCAGUCAUCAAGCAAACUGGCUUUGUUAAUGGUACCUCAAAUCAUCAAUGUCAUGCCCUUUGAGAGCAAAAUGGAGCACUGAAAUCAAUGGCAUUCAGAUAUAUAAAUAGCAGUAAAUAAUUUAAUAAGGAAAGCUCCAAACAGGUUCAGUAAUAAUUGAAGCAACAAAACUACAGUCACCAACAAAAACCAACAGAGUAAUCCAACUCAAAAAUUUCAAACACUAGGAGAAAAAGUUGUGAUGUUUAUUUAUCCUCUCCCAUGCUUAGCUAAACUCAAGCCUUAACCCGCCCAUAGAACUUUGCCUUCUCCUGUGUUGUCUGGAAUCUACCAUGGCCAAACUUGGAGGAUGUAUCAAUGAACUUGAGCUUAAUCUCCUCCAAAGCAACCCUAGAUGUCUGGUUCAACAAUGAUUGUCUCAAGGUCACAACUCUCUUCUUUGGUCCCACGCAGCAUCCUUUUAUCAUCAAAUAAUCUUCCUUCACCACACCAUAGUGGGGGAACCCUCCCAUUGGUGUGAUAUCCUUUUCAGUCCUGUUAUUUUUGAAACACAUUAGCCAAAAUUGACAUAGCAAAUUUACAAAAGCUACCAAAAUCUCUAUGAUUUGCCUGAUCAAGGUGCAUAGUAUUAAAAUAGGACUGUAAAGGGAACAAGCAUU
rnacentral:lncRNA from 1 species